GUUCAGGAAAUUGCUUCCUGUAUCAAUGUGUUCUAGGCUAUUCCCCACUUUCUCUUCUAUUAGAUUUCGUUUAUGCAGUUUUAUAUAGAGAUCUAUGACUUAUUUAUUUAUUAGGUAAAUGGUGUUCUGGCUGCAUGUAUUCCUGCACACUAGAAGAGGACACCAGAUCUUAUUAUAGAUGGUUAUGAGCCACUGUGUAGUUGCUGGGAAUUGACUCAGGACAUCUGUUAGAACAAUCACUGUUCUUAACCUCUGAGCCAUCUCUCCAACCUCAUACUUAAAUUUUAAAUGUUCAAAAAAUAUAGUCUAAGAAAUGAUUUCAGGACCAGUGAGUUACCUCCGCAGAUAGAGUCUUGCUGCCAAGUCUGACCAGCUGAGUUCAGUCCCUGGAAGUUGUUCUCUGACUUCCACAGAAUGUCACCGCCCCACAUACAUACCCCAACACACUAAAUAAAUAAAUAAAUAAAUCUUUAAAAUAAAUUAUUUCAAUAGAAGCUUUUGAAAGUCGACCUAACUGCCUAACUUAGUCAUGAAUUGGAGAACAUAUAUAGUGUUGUAAGGUAAUAUUCAUAAGAAUGAUUUUAAAGAAGCAAAUAAUAAAUACCUCAGGGGUAUAAUCUAGGAUUUGGAGGAGUGCUUAUGAUCAUAUAUAUAGGAAAAACAAAAUAAAUUUUAAGUGUCUAGAUGAUAAAACAAUGGUGCAUAUUAGAAGAUUUUCUCCUCAUCCCUUUAAAAGAUUGAGUUUGUGUUUUACCAUUUUUAUGGAUAGGAGGAAAAUAAUAUCAUUAAAAAUUGAAAUGUAUCUUUUUGAUAGCUUAAUAGCUAUAGUAUUUAAGAACUUUUCUUAUGUUCUUUUAUUUUUAUCAUAACAGUUCUAUUCUACAUUUCUUCCUCCUUUAUCUCCCAAUUUUGAAACAUUUUAUAAGUUUUUAAUUCAGUUAUUACCAUCAGCUACUUUAAGAAUGCAUAGUUUCUGCUGUUAUAUUUAAAAGAAACAAAAACAAAAUGAAGUUACUUUCUGAAAAGUAACUACCAAAGUUUCAUAAAUUUCAUUUAAAGAUAAAUUCUAAUAACCAGAAAUUUAACAUGUUCACGAACUUGGAAAAUUGCAAUGGGGUGUAUUAAAAAUUUGUUGGAUACACAAAUAGCGCCAGGAGGGAGUAAACCUCUCAGGAGUGUGGACAGGACUGUGAGUGUGGGGAGGAUCACCACUGGUGCUUAGAGGAACCCCCUCAGAACCCUCAGGACACACAGGAACCAAGAGGGUGGCCUGGGACGGAACAAGAGUCUUCAAGACUCCAUCUGUGCCCAGAGCUGAUCUUAUGCCACAGAGCUACAUAUACAAAUACCACCAGGAGAGAGCUGGUUUCCCAGGAGUGCCUACACACCUGUGAGCACAGGUAAGGCCACCAUUUCUCUUCAAAUUCCUGGCCCAAGAGGGACACUCACAGAGCCAUCAGGACAAAGGAACCAAAGAUCAGCUGGGGACAGGAUCUUUCUGGUGUCUGCCUGCACCUCAGAGCUGACCCUGUACCACAGCUCUCCACACCCAAAUUCCUCCUGGAGAGAACUGGUCUCCCAGGAGUACUUACACACAGGCUUGCAGGAAGGACACGCCAAAGUGAGAGACAACAAAACCUGCUAACACCAGAGAUAACCAGAUGGUGAAAGGCAAGUGCAAGAAUUUAAGCAACAGAAACCAAGACUACUUGGCAUCAUCAGAACCUAGUUCUCCUACCACAGUAAACCCUGGAUACCCCAACACACCAGAAAAGGAAGACAUGAUUUGAAAUCACAUCUCAUGAUGAUAAUAGAGGAAUUUAAGAAGGACAUAAAUAACUCCCUUAAAGAAAUACAAGAGAACACGGGUAAAUAGGUAGAAGACCUUAAAGAGGAAACACAAAAAUCCCUUAAAGAAUUACAAGAAAACAAAACCAAACUGGUGAAGGAAAUGAACAAAACCAUCCAGGAUCUAAAAAUGGAAAUAGAAACAAUAAAGAAAUCACAAAGGGAGACAACACUGGAAAUAGAAAACCUAGGAAAGAGACCAGGAGUCGUAGGUGCAAGCAACAGAACCAGAACACAAGAGAUAGAAAAGAGAAUCUCAUGGGCAGAAGAUACCAUAGAAAACAUUGACACAACAGCCAAAGAAAAUGUAAAAUGCAAAAAUCUCCUAACCCAAAAAUCCAGGAAGUCCAGGACAAAAUGAGAAGACCAAACCUAAGGAUAAUAGGUUUAGAAGAAAGCAAAGAUUCCCAACUUAAAGAGCCAGUAAACAUCUUCAACAAAAUUAUAGAAGAAAACUUUUCUAACCUAAAGAAAGAAAUGCCCAUGAACAUACAAGAAGCCUAUAGAACUCCAAAUAGAUUGGACGAGAAAACAAAUUCCUCCUGUCACAUAAUAAUCAAAAUACCAAGUGUACCAAACAAAGAAAGAAUUUUAAAAGCAGUAAGGGAAAAAGGUCAAGUAACAUACAAAAGGCAGACCUAUUAUAAUUACACCAGACUUCUCACCAGAUACUAUGAAAGCUAGAAGUUCUGGGCAGAUCUCAUACAGACCCUGAGAGAACACAAAUGCCAGCCCAGACUACUAUACCCAGCAAAACACUCAAUUACCAUAGAUGGAAAAAUCAAGAUUUUCCAUGAUGAAACCAAAUCUGACAGUUUCUUUCCAAAAAUCCGGCCCUACAAAGGAUAAUAGAUGGAAAAUACCAACACAAGGAAGGAAACUACACUGCAGAAAAAGUAAGAAAGUAAUCUUUUUUCAACAAACCCAAUAGAAGAUAACUACACAAACAUAAAAGUAACAUCAGUAAUAACAGGGAGCAACAAUCACUAUUCCUUAGCAUCUCUUAACAUUAAUGGACUCAAUUUCCCAAUAAAAAAACAUAGACUAACAGACUGGAUAUGUAAACAGGACCCAGCAUUUUGCUGUAUACAGGAAACACUACCUCAGAAUAAAGGGCUGGAAAACAAUUUUCCAAGCAAAUGGUCCCAAGAAACAUGCAGGAAUACCCAUUCUAAUAUUGGAUAAAAUAGACUUUUAACCAAAAGUUUUUAAGAAAGAUAAGGAAGAGCACUUUAGACUCAUCAAAGGAAAAAUCUAUCAAGAACUUUCAAUUUUGAACAUUUAUGCUCCAAAUGCAAGGGCACCCAUAAUUCUCAACUGAGGAAUGGCCGAAUGGCCGAGAAGCACCUAAAGAAAUGUUCAACAUCCUUAGUCAUCAGGAAAUGCAAAUCAAAACAACCCUGAGAUUCCACCUCACAUCAUGCAGAAUGGCUACUAUCAAAAACUCAGGUAACAGCAGACACUGGUGAGGAUGUGAAGAAAGAAGAACAUUCCUCCAUUGUGGUGGGAUUGCAAGCUGGCACAACCACUCUGGAAAUCAGUUAGGUGGUUCCUCAGAAAAUUGGACAUAGUACUACCUGAGGACCCAGCAAUACCACUCCUGGGCAUAUACCCAGAAGAUGCUCCAACAUGUAAUGAGGGCACAUGCUCCACUAUGUUCAUAGCAGCCUUAUUUAUAAUAGCCAGAAGCUGUAAAGAACCCAGAUGUCCCUCAACAGAGGAAUGGAUACAGAAAAUGUGGUACAUUUACACAAUGGAGUACUACUCAGCUAUUAAAUACAAUGAAUUUAUGGAAGUCUUAGGCAAAUGGAUGGAACUACAAAAUAUCCUCCUGAGUGAGGUAACCCAAUCACAAAAGAACACAUAUGGUGUGCACUCACUUAUCAGUGGCUAUUAGCCCAGAAGCUCAGAAUAACCCAGAAUACAAUUCACAGAUCACUUGAAGCUCAAGAAGAAGGAAGACCAAAGAGUGGAUACUUCAGACCUUCUUAGAAGGUGGAACAAAUGCUAUGGGAGGAGUUAUAGAGACAAAGUGUGGAGCAGACACUGAAGGAAAGGCCAUCUGAAAACUUCCCUACCUGGGGAUUCAUCCCACAUACAGUCACCAAACCCAGACACUAUUGUGGAUGCCAACAAAUGCUUGCUGACAGGAGCCUGGUAUAGCUGUCUCUUGAGAGGCCCUGCCUGAGCCUUACAAAUACAGAGGUGGAUGCACUCAGCCAACCAUUUUACUGAGCACAGGGUUCCCAAUGGAGGAACUAGAGAAAGGACCCAAGGAGCUAAAGGAGUUUGAAGUCCCAUAGGAGGAACAAUAAUAUGAACGAACCAGUACCCUCAGAACUCCCUGGGACUAAACCACCAACCAAAGAGUACACAAGGAGGGACCCAUGGUUCCAGCCACAUAUGUAGCAGAGGAUGGCCAUUAAUGGGAGGAGAGGCCCUUGGUCCUGUGAAGGCUCUAUGCCCCAGUGUAGGAGAAUGCCAGGCUAGGAAGCAAGAGUGGGUGGGUUGUUGAGCAGGGGUGGGGGGUGGGGAUAGGGGGUUUUGGGAGGAGAAAUCAGGAAAAGAGAUAACAUUUAAAAUGUAAAUAAAGAAAAUAUCUAAUU
rnacentral:lncRNA from 1 species